rnacentral:rRNA from 1 species
UACGAAGGGGGCUAGCGUCGUUCGGAAUUACUGGGCGUAAAGCGCACGUAGGCGGAUAUUUAAGUCAGGGGUGAAAUCCCAGAGCUCAACUCUGGAACUGCCUUUGAUACUGGGUAUCUUGAGUAUGGAAGAGGUAAGUGGAAUUGCGAGUGUAGAGGUGAAAUUCCUAGAUAUUCGCAGGAACACCAGUGGCGAAGGCGGUUUACUGGUCCAUUACUGACGCUGAGGUGCGAAAGCGUGGGGAUCGAACAGG